GAGAAGUGGGUGGGAGGGGCGGGGCUACGGGGAGCGAAGUGACUGCUGAUUGGUGCGCGCUCCCCAUUCACACCGAACACAAUGGACUGCGGGCGCGCGCACCACGGUUCUCUGCACCGGCCGUUCGCUGCAGACCCGCCGUUACGCCUUUUCGCCCCGGGGAUCUCCCCUACCGCCCCGUGCCUCGGAACCUUCGGUUGGAGUCGUGGGCGCCGCCGAAGACAGGCUGCAGUCGGAGGAAAGGAAGCUAGGGAAGAACCUUCUGUUGGAUGAAAUAAAAGCAAACACUGGGCCUUCUGCGCUGCCUCCACCUCCACGCCCCUCCCGCGCCUGCCGCCCUCCGGGACUGCACGGAAAUAGCUUCUCCAGGCUCCCAGGCCGCCCCUUCGCGGUGACUCGCAGAAAGAGCUUCCUGAGCCUGGGCCGGUGGGAAACAAAGGAUGUGGGGAGCUGGCGGAAGGGGCCCACGUGGCUGCCACCGGAUUCCUGCCCUUCCUUGGCCACCACACGCGCAGCAAGGUCUGGGGCCCCGGUGCCUGCCCGCGUUGCGUGGUGGGCGGGUAGGGCAAUGGAAAUCAUUCUGGCCACCAACAGAGAUAACUGCCUACACCCGGGCAACCCUGGCAGGUCUUCUGCGUGCAUUCGAGCAACGUGAUUUGGCUGAGCAUGCAUGUGUGACAGACCGUGCACAAAGUUCCCUGAAAACAUAACUUCGAAUCUGUCGUUUUUCUUUCUUGAGAGAACCAGGUCGGUUUGGAGUCCCUGGACACCCAACAUAGUUAACUAUUAUCAGUCCCUGCACUUCUGCUAAACACUUAACCUAAAACCAGGUAGCCUCCCAAGGAUGCAUCCUGGUCUAUAAUAAAUCUCCCUUCUUCA